GAUUUGGAUUUACAAGCACUUUUCAUUUUCCGGAAAUGAAACAUUUCUUUUUCGAUGUUUCAUUUUUUGAUUUUUUUCAUUUUAAACACUCGUUCAAGAAUCAUAACUUUGCGUUUCCUUCAGCAACUUGAUACUGGUAAACCACUUUUCUAUGAAAAUACUGUUAAAAAACCCUCGCAUGGUACGAAAAGAAGCCCUAUAGAAGGUAACGUUGUGCCUUACGAAGUUACGUUUUCAACAAGUUACA
rnacentral:lncRNA from 1 species